rnacentral:rRNA from 1 species
GACGAACGCUGGCGGCGUGCUUAACACAUGCAAGUCGAACGGAAAGGCCUCUUUCGGGGGGUACUCGAGUGGCGAACGGGUGAGUAACACGUGAGUAACCUGCCCUUGACUUUGGGAUAACUUCAGUAAACUGGGGCUAAUACCGGAUAGGAGCUCCUGCUGCAUGGUGGGGGUUGGAAAGUUUCGGCGGUUGGGGAUGGACUCGCGGCUUAUCAGCUUGUUGGUGGGGUAGUGGCUUACCAAGGCUUUGACGGGUAGCCGGCCUGAGAGGGUGACCGGCCACAUUGGGACUGAGAUACGGCCCAGACUCCUACGGGAGGCAGCAGUGGGGAAUAGUGCACAAUGGGUGGAAGCCUGAUGCAGCAACGCCGUGUGCGGGAUGACGGCCUUCGGGUUGUAAACCGCUUUCGCUCAUGACGAAGCUUUGUGUGACGGUAGUGGGUAAAGAAGCACCGGCUAACUACGUG